rnacentral:sRNA from 2 species
GUGGAGUGGGAAUAAAGAGCCAACAUAAUAUGGAGGGGGAAUCCCUAUAAAUCAACAUUCUUCAAUAGCUAAAAUGCUUGAUUUUCAUUAAAAAUAAGAUGGUUCCCUACCAAAAGAGACUAUAAUAUAAGUUAAUUUGUUU